rnacentral:rRNA from 1 species
ACGCUGGCGGCAGGCCUAAUACAUGCAAGUCGAGCGGCCCUUCGGGGCAGCGGCGGACGGGUGAGUAACGCGUGGGAACGUGCCCUUUGGUACGGGAUAACUGGGGGAAACUUCAGCUAAUACCGUAUGUGCCCUACGGGGGAAAGAUUUAUCGCCAUUGGAGCGGCCCGCGUUGGAUUAGCUAGUUGGUGGGGUAAAGGCUCACCAAGGCUACGAUCCAUAGCUGGUCUGAGAGGAUGAUCAGCCACACUGGGACUGAGACACGGCCCAGACUCCUACGGGAGGCAGCAGUAGGGAAUCUUGCGCAAUGGGCGAAAGCCUGACGCAGCCAUGCCGCGUGAAUGAUGAAGGUCUUAGGAUUGUAAAAUUCUUUCACCGGGGAAGAUAAUGACGGUACCCGGAGAAGAAGCCCCGGCUAACUUCGUGCCAGCAGCCGCGGUAAUACGAAGGGGGCUAGCGUUGCUCGGAAUUACUGGGCGUAAAGGGCGCGUAGGCGGAUGUUUAAGUCGGGGGUGAAAGCCCGGGGCUCAACCUCGGAAUUGCCUUCGAUACUGGACAUCUUGAGUACGGGAGAGGUGAGUGGAACUCCGAGUGUAGAGGUGAAAUUCGUAGAUAUUCGGAAGAACACCAGUGGCGAAGGCGACUCACUGGCCCGUUACUGACGCUGAGGCGCGAA